CCGAGUUUACAACUCCCAAACCCCUGUGAACAUACCUAUACUGUUGCCUCGGCGGAUCAGCCCGCGCCCCGUAAAAAGGGACGGCCCGCCCGAGGAUCCACUAAACUCUGUUUUUAUUGUAACUUCUGAGUAAACAAACAAAUAAAUCA
rnacentral:misc_RNA from 1 species